rnacentral:rRNA from 1 species
GGAUAAUCGGGAGAAAUCCCGUCUAAUACCGCGUAAUGCCGCGGGGCUGCAUGGCCCUGCGGCCAAAGGGAGCGAUUCCGGCAACGGAUGGGCAUGCGUGACAUUAGCUAGUUGGCGGGGCAACGGCCCACCAAGGCGACGAUGUCUAGGGGUUCUGAGAGGAAGGUCCCCCACACUGGUACUGAGACACGGACCAGACUCCUACGGGAGGCAGCAGUGAGGAAUAUUGGUCAAUGGGCGCGAGCCUGAACCAGCCAAGUCGCGUGAGGGAUGACGGCCCUACGGGUUGUAAACCUCUUUUGUCGGGGAGCAAAUUCCGCCACGUGUGGCGGAGUCGAGAGUACCCGAAGAAAAAGCAUCGGCUAACUCCGUGCCAGCAGCCGCGGUAAUACGGAGGAUGCGAGCGUUAUCCGGAUUUAUUGGGUUUAAAGGGUGCGUAGGCGGACUGUCAAGUCAGCGGUAAAAUACGGGGGCUCAACCUCCGCCCGCCGUUGAAACUGACGGUCUUGAGUGGGCGAGAAGUAUGCGGAAUGCGUGGUGUAGCGGUGAAAUGCAUAGAUAUCACGCAGAACUCCGAUUGCGAAGGCAGCAUACCGGCGCCCGACUGACGCUGAAGCUCGAAAGCGUGGGUAUCGAACAGGAUUAGAUACCCUGGUAGUCCACGCAGUAAACG